rnacentral:rRNA from 1 species
GGGUUGUGAGGUUAAGCGACUAAGCGUACACGGUGGAUGCCCUGGCAGUCAGAGGCGAUGAAGGACGUGCUAAUCUGCGAAAAGCGCCGGURAGGUGAUAUGAACCGUUAUAACCGGCGAUGUCCGAAUGGGGAAACCCAGUGUGACUCGUCACACUAUCAUUAACUGAAUCCAUAGGUUAAUGAGGCGAACCGGGAGAACUGAAACAUCUAAGUACCCCGAGGAAAAGAAAUCAACCGAGAUU